rnacentral:rRNA from 1 species
GACGAACGCUGGCGGCGUGCCUAAUACAUGCAAGUUGAGCGCUGAAGGUUGGUACUUGUACCAACUGGAUGAGCAGCGAACGGGUGAGUAACGCGUGGGGAAUCUGCCUUUGAGCGGGGGACAACAUUUGGAAACGAAUGCUAAUACCGCAUAAAAACUUUAAACACAAGUUUUAAGUUUGAAAGAUGCAAUUGCAUCACUCAAAGAUGAUCCCGCGUUGUAUUAGCUAGUUGGUGAGGUAAAGGCUCACCAAGGCGAUGAUACAUAGCCGACCUGAGAGGGUGCUCGGCCACAUUGGGACUGAGACACGGCCCAAACUCCUACAGGAGGCAGCAGUAGGGAAUCUUCGGCAAUGGACGAAAGUCUGACCGAGCAACGCCGCGUGAGUGAAGAAGGUUUUCGGAUCGUAAAACUCUGUUGGUAGAGAAGAACGUUGGUGAGAGUGGAAAGCUCAUCAAGUGACGGUAACUACCCAGAAAGGGACGGCUAACUACGUG